ACACUCUGGCUUCUCUUCAGUGUCGAAUAAAUAUUCCGCAUUUUACUAAAGACCUCCGUGGAGAGGAGCACUCAAUUGAAUCUAAACUAAUUCAGUCAAUUAUUAUGAUAUUGUCAUAACU